rnacentral:lncRNA from 1 species
AAGAACGCCAACAACUCGCAGAGCGCGGUGGUGCCGGUGCCGCUGGAGGUGCGCGCGGCCACGCGCCUCUCGGUCUUCGGGGUGUCCCGGCCUGACGUUGUCACCAUCCCCGAGGGGGUGUGGGCAUCUGAGCGGCCACCGCAGCGGCUGCAGGACCUGGGGCCACCCGUGGAGCACGUCUAUGAGGUGGUGAACGAGGGUCCCAGCGCCAUCAGCCAUGGGACCCUGGAGCUGAGCUGUCCCCUGAGCCACCGUGGCCACCCGCUGCUCUACG